UUGCUUCUGCAGCACAUAUACUAAGCUUGGAAAAAUACAGAGGUUAGCAUGGGCUCCCAAGAUGACACACGAUUUGUAAAGCAUUCCAUAUUUUG
rnacentral:snRNA from 1 species